rnacentral:rRNA from 1 species
GGGGGGGGGGGGGGGGGGGGGGGGGAGGGGCGGGUCGGGCGGGAAGGCCGGGCUGGGGUGGGGUGCUCGAGUGGCGAACGGGGGAGUGGCCCGUGAGGAACCUGCCCUUGGCUUUGGGAUAUCUUCAGGAAACUGGGGCUAAUACCGGAUAGGCGCUCCUGCUGCAUGGUGGGGGUUGGAAAGUUUCGGCGGUUGGGGAUGGACUCGCGGCUUAUCAGCUUGUUGGUGGGGUAGUGGCUUACCAAGGCUUUGACGGGUAGCCGGCCUGAGAGGGUGACCGGCCACAUUGGGACUGAGAUACGGCCCAGACUCCUACGGGAGGCAGCAGUGGGGAAUAUUGCACAAUGGGCGGAAGCCUGAUGCAGCAACGCCGCGUGCGGGAUGACGGCCUUCGGGUUGUAAACCGCUUUCGCCUGUGACGAAGCGUGAGUGACGGUAAUGGGUAAAGAAGCACCGGCUAACUACGUG